CCCUGUUAGGAACAGAAGGAGAACCUCAUCCUAACCUGAGCUAAAACCGAUCACAUCAGAAAUAGGGGAAGAACCUCAUCCUGACACCAAUUAAGGUCCGACCAUUCGAGACCCGACAAGAAAGAAGAAAACCUUCUCGACGGUUCUUCUAUGCUAUCGCGACUCCAUGGAAAGCUAGAGCGAACCCUCGCCUAAAAGAAGGAGGGAGAUGUGAAGGAACAACGACGGGCUACCCCAAUGAAAAAUGGAGGCCAAACUACACUAAAGACACAAAGGACCUCACCUCCAUGA
rnacentral:lncRNA from 1 species